rnacentral:rRNA from 1 species
AGAGUUUGAUCCUGGCUCAGGAUGAACGCUAGCGGCAGGCCUAAUACAUGCAAGUCGAACGGUGAUAGCAAUAUCAUAGUGGCGCACGGGUGCGUAACACGUAUGCAACCUACCUUAUACUGAGGGAUAGCCUUUCGAAAGGGAGAUUAAUACCUCAUAACACAUUGAACUGGCAUCAGUUUAUUGUUAAAGAUUUAUUGGUAUAAGAUGGGCAUGCGUCCAAUUAGUUAGUUGGCGAGGUAACGGCUCACCAAGACGAUGAUUGGUAGGGGAACUGAGAGGUUAAUCCCCCACACUGGCACUGAGAUACGGGCCAGACUCCUACGGGAGGCAGCAGUAGGGAAUAUUGGGCAAUGGAGGCAACUCUGACCCAGCCAUGCCGCGUGCAGGAAGAAGGCGUUAUGCGUUGUAAACUGCUUUUAUAUAGGAAGAAAUAGACCUUGCGAGGUAAGUUGACGGUACUAUAUGAAUAAGCACCGGCUAACUCCGUGCCAGCAGCCGCGGUAAUACGGAGGGUGCAAGCGUUGUCCGGAUUUAUUGGGUUUAAAGGGUGCGUAGGCGGUUUAUUAAGUCAGUGGUGAAAGACGGUCGNCUCACGAUUGCAGUGCCAUUGAUACUGGUAG